GGCCGAGUAGCUCAGUGGAUAGAGCAUCUGCCUUCUAAGCAGAUGGUCGGGAGUUCAAUUCUCUCCUCGGUCA
rnacentral:tRNA from 1 species